rnacentral:rRNA from 1 species
AUUGAACGCUGGCGGCAUGCUUUACACAUGCAAGUCGAACGGUAACAGCACUUCGGUGGCUGACGAGUGGCGAACGGGUGAGUAAUACAUCGGAACGUGCCUAGUAGUGGGGGAUAACUACUCGAAAGAGUAGCUAAUACCGCAUGAGAUCUAAGGAUGAAAUCAGGGGACCUUCGGGCCUUGCGCUACUAGAGCGGCUGAUGGCAGAUUAGGUAGUUGGUGGGAUAAAAGCUUACCAAGCCGACGAUCUGUAGCUGGUCUGAGAGGACGACCAGCCACACUGGGACUGAGACACGGCCCAGACUCCUACGGGAGGCAGCAGUGGGGAAUUUUGGACAAUGGGCGCAAGCCUGAUCCAGCAAUGCCGCGUGCAGGAUGAAGGCCUUCGGGUUGUAAACUGCUUUUGUACGGAACGAAAAGCCCUCUUCUAAUACAGGAGGGUCAUGACGGUACCGUAAGAAUAAGCACCGGCUAACUACGUG